GAUGAACGCUGGCGGCGUGCCUAAUACAUGCAAGUCGAGCGAACAGACGAGGAGCUUGCUCCUCUGACGUUAGCGGCGGACGGGUGAGUAACACGUGGAUAACCUACCUAUAAGACUGGGAUAACUUCGGGAAACCGGAGCUAAUACCGGAUAUAUAUUGAACCCCAUGGUUCAAUAGUGAAAUACGGUUUUGCUGUCACUUAUAGAUGGAUCCGCGCCGUAUUAGCUAGUUGGUAAGGUAACGGCUUACCAAGGCAACGAUGCGUAGCCGACCUGAGAGGGUGAUCGGCCACACUGGAACUGAGACACGGUCCAGACUCCUACGGGAGGCAGCAGUAGGGAAUCUUCCGCAAUGGGCGAAAGCCUGACGGAGCAACGCCGCGUGAGUGAUGAAGGUCUUCGGAUCGUAAAACUCUGUUAUUAGGGAAGAACAAAUGUGUAAGUAACUAUGCACGUCUUGACGGUACCUAAUCAGAAAGCCACGGCUAACUACGUG
rnacentral:rRNA from 1 species